AGUGAACGCUGGCGGUAGGCCUAACACAUGCAAGUCGAACGGCAGCACAGUAAGAGCUUGCUCUUACGGGUGGCGAGUGGCGGACGGGUGAGGAAUACAUCGGAACCUACUUUUUCGUGGGGGAUAACGUAGGGAAACUUACGCUAAUACCGCAUACGACCUACGGGUGAAAGCAGGGGAUCUUCGGACCUUGCGCGAUUGAAUGAGCCGAUGUCGGAUUAGCUAGUUGGCGGGGUAAAGGCCCACCAAGGCGACGAUCCGUAGCUGGUCUGAGAGGAUGAUCAGCCACACUGGAACUGAGACACGGUCCAGACGCCUACGGGAGGCAGCAGUGGGGAAUAUGGGACAAUGGGCGCAAGCCUGAUCCAGCCAUACCGCGUGGGUGAAGAAGGCCUUCGGGUUGUAAAGCCCUUUUGUUGGGAAAGAAAAGCAGCAGGUUAAUACCCCGCUGUUCUGACGGUACCCAAAGAAUAAGCACCGGCUAACUUCGUG
rnacentral:rRNA from 1 species